rnacentral:rRNA from 1 species
CCCUUAGAUGUUCUGGGCCGCACGCGCGCUACACUGAUGCAUUCAACGAGUUUCUUCCUGGUCCGAGAGGAAUGGGUAACCUUUUGAAAGUGCAUCGUGAUAGGGAUAGACUAUUGCAAUUAUUGGUCUUCAACGAGGAAUUCCUAGUAGACGUAGUUCAUCAGACUGCAUCGAUUACGUCCCUGCCCUUUGUACACACCGCCCGUCGCUCCUACCGAUUGAAUGUUCCGAUGAAUACCAUGGACUGAGAGUAUGAAUGGGUUCGCCUAUUUCUGCUUCUCGGGAAGUGGAGUAAAUCUUAACAUUUAGAGGAAGGAGAAGUCGUAACA